rnacentral:rRNA from 1 species
UACGGGGGGGGCAAGCGUUGUUCGGAAUUACUGGGCGUAAAGGGUUCGUAGGUGGCUUGUUAAGUCAGACGUGAAAUCCCUCGGCUCAACCGGGGAACUGCGUCUGAGACUGAUGAGCUCGAGUGCAGGAGAGGAACGCGGAAUUCCAGGUGUAGCGGUGAAAUGCGUAGAUAUCUGGAGGAACACCGGUGGCGAAGGCGGGUAGCUGGGCCAACACUGACGCUGAUGCGCGAAAGCUAGGGGAGCAAACGGG